GACGAACGCUGGCGGCGUGCCUAAUACAUGCAAGUCGAACGCAGUGGGGACGGGUGAGUAACACGUGGGUAACCUCCCAUCAGAGGGGAUAACACUUGGAAACAGGUGCUAAACCGAUACUGAUGGAUGGACCCGCGGUGGAUUAGCUAGUUGGUGAGGUAACGGCUCACCAAGGCCACGAUGCAUAGCCGGCCUGAGAGGGUGGUCGGCCAAACUGGGACGGAGACACGGGCCAGACUCCUACGGGAGGCAGCAGUGGGGAAUAUUGGACAAUGGACGAAAGUCUGACCGAGCAACGCCGCGUGAGUGAAGAAGGUUUUCGGAUCGUAAAGCUCUGUUGUUAGGGAGGCGUUAUCUAACCAGAAAGCCACGGCUAACUACGUGCCAGCAGCCGCGGUAAUAC
rnacentral:rRNA from 1 species